CAUUAGGAAGCUAUGCAACAGCACUAGCCUUUUAAGCUAGAGAUAGAGAACCACUAACCUCCCUAAUGA
rnacentral:tRNA from 1 species